rnacentral:lncRNA from 15 species
UAUAAUUAUAUAUAAUAUUUAAUAAUUCAAAUGUAAUAAUCUUAGAGGGGGAAAUUCUUUGUGUGCUCACAGCAAUGACAAUAUAACAUGUGAUUACAAGAAGACACUGUUUCAUUUUAAGAGGUCAUGAGACAAAACUGUUGGGAACCACUGGGUUGAAUGGUUAUUGACUCCUUCUGUUUACCUCUUUAAAAGCGUAGAACUUGCUUGUGUGUUAGCUGGAGCGGUGAUUUGUUUAACCUGUACGUGUUUUCUCCUCAGGGCUGCUGCCUGUGCUGUGGCUGGGAAUCGGGCUGACUUCUCUGCUCCUUGUUCCACUUCUCACUGUGUUUCUGCGAAGACCAAGACAAGCUGCUGCUGCACCAUCAACUGAAAGUCAACCGAAGGCUCCGGUGUCCGUUCAUGAUCAAGUCACUUUAGUUCCUCUUUCCCUGGUCCCUGUCGACCCUUGUGACAUCCACUUGGAAUUCGCUGAUGAGCAAAUCUCCACCGAAUCCUCCUCUAGUCUCCCGUCCAACGAGGACCAGACCUUGACUCUGGGAAACACCAGUAAUCCUCUAAACUGUAACUCCAGCUCAGGUGCAUCAUACUGGGACAGCGGUGGAAUGGGAUGAGGACUGGACUCUCUGGGAUCAGCAUCCCACCUGUGUCUCGCUCUUCGGAAGAGACAUGUGGGACAAAUGGAGACUGAUACUUAAAGACUGAGAGCCAUCUUGCCAUGAGUGUUGCUCUAUAAAGGUAGGUGUCAAUGGAGGCUUCACACCAUCACUGUGUACCUCUCUGUGUGUGAGCUACUGAAGUCCACUACCUACCAAGUGCAGCUCUAGUCUGUCCAACAGUUCGAUAUCAACAUAAAAAAAGGGAAAUAAAGAUGCUGAAAUUAGCCGUAAGUAAGAAAAAAUAACAGAAAUGUCAAAGAUAUGUUGGCGAUACUUAAGAAAUAGUGCCUCCGUUACCUAGUUUGUCCUCCAGAGAGCGCUGAUAAGUUUAUUUUUCAACCGUAAAAUCUAAGAACGUAAUGGAAUAUGAUAUUCAUUAGUUCAUCGCAAGUUUUGCAGCCACCGUAGUUUCUCUCACACACUGCACAGCCUGUUUUCAUUCCUAGGUUAUCAAAUACAGACGUUACAGAAGUUAUUUGCAAUCUGCAACUUCACCACUAGAUGGCCACUAAAUCCUACACUGGUCCUUUAAUCAAUAUUGAAAAUAAUGACUCCUGAAGGUCAGUAGACCACAAUCUCGUGCAGUGGGUUUCAAACUCUAUAACGCUGAACUUCCAGCUCUGAAUAUGUUGUUCUGACCUAUGACGUUAAUUUCCUGUGGACUUGAGUCCAUUAUUAGGAAGAUGAAUGAAGAAGAUGUGCGACAAAGGUCGUGACUCGAGUUGAAUUGCUUAUUGUGAGCCGCCACCAGAUGACCUCUAACAUGCAAGUCUGUCAUCAAGUGAUAGAAGAGCGGCUUCCAAUUUUAAACGUAUAAGCACAUUCCUCUGGCUCUGAAGGCUCGUCGGAGUCUGAUAUGAGUCAGAGGGUCAGAGAAUCGACUGGUGAGUGAGAAUUACCAAUGAAACGGAAAUAGUUUAUCCAACAAGUCCAAAAGGAGCCUGUUUUUCCUGCGUAUGUACCACUGAUUCAGUGAAAAAUCUAAAUCUGGUUGCGGUUCUUCCCCCUUUCUGCCUUUUAGUGCCGAGGUCCAGUUCAGUCCAAACCAUAAGCUUCAUAAACAAGAACCAAGAAAAGGUCUGACCCCCCACAUGCAGCCAGCAGCUCCUUCAUGCUGCUUUUUCCCCCCUCAGAGUGAUAACAGAAGGUAGUUUGUUUUCUAUCAUUCAUUGCUCUGAAAUGUUUCUGACUCACAGUUGCCCCAUCGCUGCCUCUUACCCGUGACUGA